rnacentral:rRNA from 1 species
CGCGUAAUUCCAGCUCCAAUAGCGUAUAUUAAAGUUGUNCCAGUAAAAAGCUCGUAGUUGAACGUUGGNCAAGAUGGAACCAGGUCGGCCCGCAAGGCCCGGACUUGGUCGUCCGCGCCUCUGUUGGGGGACUCGCGGCUUCGGCGGCGAGGCAACCCUGGGUUACUGUGAAGAAAUUAGAGUGUUUAAAGCAGGCGAUCGCUUGAAUACAUCAGCAUGGAAUAACAAGAUAAGACAUUCGUGUUCUUGUUGGUUUGGAGACAAAUGUAAUGAUUAAUAGGGCCAGUUGGGGGCAUUAGUAUUCAGUAGUCAGAGGUGAAAUUCUUGGAUUUACUGAAGACUAACUAGUGCGAAAGCAUUUGCCAAGGAUGUUUUCAUUAAUCAAGAACGAAAGUUAGGGGAUCGAAGACGAUCAGAUACCGUCGUAGUCUUAACUAUAAACGAUGCCGACUAAGGAUCGGCAGAAGUCGUUAGCGACUCUGUCGGCACUUUGUGAGAAAUCAAAGUUUUUGGGUUCUGGGGGGAGUAUGGUCGCAAGGCUGAAACUUAAAGGAAUUGACGGAAGGCACCACCCAGGA